ACAGGUAGAAAAGAAUGAAAAUUACUUUUAGAAGCGCACAUACACACAAGUCCUGUGUAAUACUCAAAAUGUAAGGUGCAGGAAUAGGGAGGACUGAGUUUUGAAAUUACAAGUACAGAAGAAUGAAAGUUGCAUAAAGAAGCGCUCAUACACACAGGUCCUGUGUAAUACUCAAAAUGUAAUGGGCAGGAAUAGGGAGGACUGUUUUCUAAAUUGGGAACAAACUCAUAUUCAGUAAGUGUUCUUUACAUUUCAGAUUUCCAAAGAUGAACCGUGUCAGGUUGGUGACGUGAAUUCAUGUGGAUCCUGUUCAACCAACCCUCAUGAGGUAAUUUUGGUCUCCAACGACCAACUUAUUUUCUAAAAUAGAGUUUUUGAUAUGAUAUUAAGUACUGUUCAAACACACAAGUCUUGUGUAACACUUGAUAUGUAAGCUGCAUAAAAGGGGGGAACUGAGGGUGGAAAUUACACAUAUAAAAGAAUGAAAGCUACAUUUAGAAGCGCACAUACACACAGGUCCUGUGUAAUACUCAAAAUGUAAGGUGCAGGAAUAGGGAGGACUGUUUUCUAUAUUGGGAACAAACAUUUAGUGAGUGUUCUUUACAUUUCAGAUUUCAAAAGAUGAACUGUGUCAGGCUGGUGACGUGGAUGCAUGUGGAUUCUGUUCAACCAACCCUCCAGAGGUAAUUUUGGUCUCCAACGACCAACUUACUCUCUAAAAUAAAGUAAUUGAAAUGAUAUUAAGUACUGUUCAAACACACAAGUCUUGCGUAACACUUGAUAUGUAAGCUGCAUAAAAGGGGGGAACUGCGUUUUGAAAUUACAAGUAUAGAAGAAUGAAAGCUACAUUUAGAAGCGCACAUACACACAGGUCCUGUGUAAUACUCAAAAUGUAAGGUGCAGGAAUAGGGAGGACUGAGUAUUGAAAUUACAAGUAAAGAAGAAUGAAAGUCACAUUUAGGAGUGCACAUACACACAGGUCUUUUGUAAUGCUCAUCAUGUAAGUUGCAGAAAUUUGGAAAACUGAGUUUUGACAUUACUAGUAGAAAAGAUUGAAAAUUACACUUAGAAACGCACAUACACACAGGUCCUGUGUAAUACUCAAAAUGUAAGGUGCAGAAAUAGGGAGGACUGUUUUCUACAUUUUCAACAAACUCAAAUUUAUUGAGUGUUCUUUACAUUUCAAAUUUCCAAAGAUGAACUGUGUCAGGUUGGUGACAUGGAUGUAUGCGGAUCCUGUUCAACCAACCCUCCAGGGGUAAUUUUGCUCUCCAACAACCAACUUAGAUUCUUAUAUAAAGUCACUAAAAUAAUAUGAAGUACUCUUCAAACACACAGGUCUUGUAUAAUACUUAUCAUGUAAGAUGUAGAAAUGUGGAAGACUGAGUUUUGAAAUUAGAGGUAGAAAAGAAUGAAAGUUAAAUUUAGAUGCACACAGACACAUGGAUCCUGUGUAAUACUCAACUUGACAGGUUCAUACAUUAGGUAGACAUUGUUUAUUUUAAUUUUUUUUUAGAAACAAUCAUUCAGU